rnacentral:sRNA from 1 species
CGCCUAAUGUGUCAAGAACACACACAAAUCGUCACAUACACCGGGGUGCUCAGGAAUUUAUCACUUAGGUUUAAUAAAAAAUAGGUGGAAGGUAUUUACUGGGUCGGUGUUAUGGGAUUUGUGGAGGCAUAAC